GGACGCCGAAGGUGGGGCUAAUGACUGGGGUGAAGUCGUAACAAGGUAGCCGUACCGGAAGGUGCGGCUGGAUCACCUCCUAACAGGGAGACAACAAAAUGUAAAUAUUAAUUUUGUCACCUUAGGUCGAUCGGUAUCUCAGAUUCUUAUUUUUUAAGAAUUUCAGUUUCUAAGUUUUUUCUAGGUCACACCCAUCACUUUUUCCUGGGCCAUUAGCUCAGGUGGUUAGAGCGCACCCCUGAUAAGGGUGAGGUCCCUGGUUCAAGUCCAGGAUGGCCCAUAUCUCUAUGUUGGGGGUAUAGCUCAGUUGGUAGAGCGCCUGCUUUGCAAGCAGGAUGUCAGCGGUUCGAGUCCGCUUACCUCCACUGAAUACCACCUCUUACAUAUAUUUAAGGAGGGAAAUUGUAUUGAGUCGUGUCCUAAUUUGCUCUGAGCGAAUCUAGCUUCCUAUUUUAUUCAAUAAAUAAGAUGCUGGACUCAUUGAAUUCUUUUCAUUGUUUUCAGAGAACCUUGACAACUGCAUAGAUUAUUUUUGAAGACAAUAAGCAUCUUUAAUGAUGCAGAUUUAUUAUUUGUGCGAAUGCAUUAAAUAACAAUUCUAUUAAGCUGAUGCUUCAAUUAUUGAAGUUAUUGGUCAAGCUACAAAGGGCUCACGGAGGAUA
rnacentral:misc_RNA from 1 species